AAUAGAUACCCCGGUAGUCCACCCGUAAACGUUGGGACUAGUUGUGGGGUCCUUUCCACGGAUUCCGUGACGCAGCUAACGCAUUAAGUUCCCCGCCUGGGGAGUACGGCCGCAAGGCUAAAACUCAAAGGAAUUGACGGGGACCCGCACAAGCGGCGGAGCAUGCGGAUUAAUUCGAUGCAACGCGAAGAACCUUACCAAGGCUUGACAUACACCAGAACACCCUAGAAAUAGGGGACUCUUUGGACACUGGUGAACAGGUGGUGCAUGGUUGUCGUCAGCUCGUGUCGUGAGAUGUUGGGUUAAGUCCCGCAACGAGCGCAACCCUCGUUCUAUGUUGCCAGCACGUAAUGGUGGGAACUCAUGGGAUACUGCCGGGGUCAACUCGGAGGAAGGUGGGGAUGACGUCAAAUCAUCAUGCCCUUAUGUCUUGGGCUUCACGCAUGCUACAAUGGCCGGUACAAAGGGCUGCAAUACCGUGAGGUGGAGCGAAUCCCAAAAGCCGGUCCCAGUUCGGAUUGAGGUCUGCAACUCGACCUCAUG
rnacentral:rRNA from 1 species